rnacentral:rRNA from 1 species
GAUGAACGCUGGCGGCGUGCCUAAUACAUGCAAGUAGAACGCUGAAGCUUGGUGCUUGCACCGAGCGGAUGAGUUGCGAACGGGUGAGUAACGCGUAGGUAACCUGCCUCUUAGCGGGGGAUAACUAUUGGAAACGAUAGCUAAUACCGCAUAAAAGACGAUAUCGCAUGAUAUUGAUUUGAAAGGUGCAAAUGCAUCACUAAGAGAUGGACCUGCGUUGUAUUAGCUAGUUGGUGAGGUAACGGCUCACCAAGGCGACGAUACAUAGCCGACCUGAGAGGGUGAUCGGCCACACUGGGACUGAGACACGGCCCAGACUCCUACGGGAGGCAGCAGUAGGGAAUCUUCGGCAAUGGGGGCAACCCUGACCGAGCAACGCCGCGUGAGUGAAGAAGGUUUUCGGAUCGUAAAGCUCUGUUGUAAGAGAAGAACGAGUGUGAGAGUGGAAAGUUCACACUGUGACGGUAACUUACCAGAAAGGGACGGCUAACUACGUGCCAGCAGCCGCGGUAAUACGUAGGUCCCGAGCGUUAUCCGGAUUUAUUGGGCGUAAAGCGAGCGCAGGCGGUUAGAUAAGUCUGAAGUUAAAGGCUGUGGCUUAACCAUAGUACGCUUUGGAAACUGUUUAACUUGAGUGCAGAAGGGGAGAGUGGAAUUCCAUGUGUAGCGGUGAAAUGCGUAGAUAUAUGGAGGAACACCGGUGGCGAAAGCGGCUCUCUGGUCUGUAACUGACGCUGAGGCUCGAAAGCGUGGGGAGCAAACAGG